rnacentral:tRNA from 1 species
AAGGAGGUGGCAGAGUGGUUAUGCGACUGGCUUGAAACCAGUGUAUGGGGGUUCAAUUCCUCCCCUUCUCG